rnacentral:rRNA from 1 species
AACGAACGCUGGCGGCAUGCCUAAUACAUGCAAGUCGAACGAGACCUUCGGGUCUAUUGGCGCAUGGGUGCGUAACGCGAGGGAACCUGCCCUUAGGUUCGGAAUAACUCUCCGAAUGGGGUGCCAACACCGGACAAUGUCUUCGGACCAAAGAUUUAUCGCCCUUGGAUGGGCCCGCGUUGGAUUAGCUAGUUGGUAGGGUAAAAGCCUACCAAGGCCACGAUCCAUAGCUGGUUUGAGAGGCUGAUCAGCCACACUGGGACUAAGACGCGGCCCAGACUCUUACGGGAGGCAGCAGAGGGGAAUGUUGGACCAUGGGCGAAAGCCUGAUCCAGCAAUGCCGCGUGAGUGAUGAAAGCAUUAGAGAAGUAAAGCUCUAUUACCCGGGAUGAUAAUGACAGUACCGAGAGAAUAAGCUCCGGCUAACUCCGUG